UAUGAUUUGUCGAGUUACUAAUCUUUAUUCGAACGAUACCCACUGUUUGGUUACAUUAAUAUUUAUUCAGGUGGCCAAUUUUAAUAAGCAAAGGCCUCACUAUUCAUCUACAUUUGAGCUAUAGGUAUUUGUAUUUGUUCCUCUGAUUAAUAGUACCAUUCAUUGGACGGCGUGACCGAUACAUUCGAUUUUUGUCCCAACUACCCUUCAUCCCCUCUCAAUUUUGAAAUAGAGGGGUCAAACUCAGAAAAUCGUUUCACACCCCAUUCAUUCUUGAAGAUUUUUCAGCGAAACAAGGGCCGACGGCGAUCUCGCCCAGCACCACCGAUUCGUCCGUAGUAAGAAGCCGAAAGCAAUGCCUGUGUAAUUUCGAGUGAUUAUAAAAGCCGAAUGCAAUGCUUGUUGAAAAGAGGAACUGAUGAGCACAUUACACACAGUCGUGCUUCUCUCGAUCCUCUCUCCCCUCGUCGCCCCAUCCUCAUCCAAAGUCUCGAUCUCGGUCGCCCCAAGAUCCGUUUCCAAAUCGGGCGACCCAGUGACGAUCAAAUGGAGCGGCCUCGAUUCGCCCUCGCAUCUAGACUGGCUCGGAAUCUACAUCCCGAUUGUAAUACCCCGACUUUUUCUAUCUUUUUAGUUGUUCUUGAAGUGACGUCGUUUGUGUAGCCGAAAAUUUUCCUUCAUUUCUUUUAGAUGUUGAUGG